ACCAAAUCUGUUUCCAGGCAGUGGGCAAGCAGGGCUGAGAAUUGCCCCAGACUACCCACCUCCCAGCUGCAAAGGAAAAGGGCUCAGUUCUUCCCCCACCUGUGGAGUCUGCAUGCUGGAUUUGCGUUCUCUCCAGAGUUCUGGCCAGGAGGCUUCUCGCCUGGUUCAAAUUGUUAUAAAGUUCAGCUGGAGACUUCCUUCUCCCUGCGGCAUUUUCCCCACACCUCUGGCUGCCCUCCUGAAGGAUCCUUGUGGUGCCAGGAGCAGUCUGCUUCCUUCAAGAGGGUCCUCUCAGGAUUUCUGGUUUAUUCCUGCAGUUGUUCUGGAGCUAAAAUUCAUGAUGUGAGCCUCCGUAUGCUGCUCUGUCUGUCCAAGUCGGAGCUGCAAUCUGGUUCUGCCUCCUGUCUGCCGAAAUGAUCGCUGUUGUAGUUUGUGUGUGUCUUCUUUUGAGAAAUGCCUUGCGCCCUCCCGCUCUUCCAGGAUAACUCAGGGCCUCCAUCUCCUCAUUUGAAAACUGUAAGUGGCAUCUACCUCCAGGUCAUAUUUAAUAGCUUUCACAACUGGUAUGGCCCAGGCCAAUGAGAAUAGAAGUGGAUUAUAAAUAAUUCAUUAGGACUUACCGGUGCCAACCAUCUGAAUAUCAGCCCUCUUGGGGUUAAAUUAAGUGAGUUAAGUGAGAAUUAAGUGAGGUAAUAUGCUUGGCACAGUAAUAUGAAGUGGCUAUAGGGUUAUCCUCAUGGUCCUGGAUGCCCAGAACGUGAAUGGUUUCACUGAGAUUACAUGAGGUGCCAGUGGGCGGUAGCCUGCGAUGAGACUCUGUGAACACACCCAAGGCCUUAAAGGAGAGAGAGUGCUGUGGCACUCUCAGAGAAGAAACCCAGGAUGCUUUGGGGAAGAGGCUGGCAGCCUGGUCUUGUUCUCUGCACGUGGAGGCCUCUGGACCAUGCACCUGACUAUCAAGCCUGUACAGAAGGCAGAGGUGAGGCAGGAGUUAAGCGGUCUGUGAAGGAGGAGGCCGGCUCUAUUUUUCAGCUGUUGGUCUUUUGAAACAGGUGGAUGAGUUUGAGCCUGAAAGGUAAUAAGUAAAGGAAAAAGACUGGGAGCACUAGGCUCUGGGAUGCCCUCUGCAUGAGAAUGAUGGGGACUAAACCUGUUUGAGGGGAAGGUGUAGACAGAAAUAAACACACCACAGCCUGGAGUCCAGAACCUUGAAAGUUUAAUGAGAACAGUUAGUGAAGCACUGCCCUGUGAUUCAUCUCCUCACAAACAACACUUAAAUCACGUAGGAUCAGGGUGGACAACGAUCAUCUCAUUUAGCUACUUAAAGUUUAUUCGGAACUCUUAAUAGCAUGUUGUCAAUAGGACCUGGCUUCUAAAUCCAGGCAGAUAAAAGUCCAUUCGUUCCUCAGAGUGGAGGACUUAGGAUCUGAGCCAACUCCAUAAGCCUGAUGCACCUGAAUACGUGAGAAAAGGCAAAAGGAGAUGGGAGUGAAGGGAGUUGAUGGGAGUUGCUGUGGUUUUGUGGGUUUUUUUUUUUUUUGCUUUUAAAAAAUUAUUUUAUUUUUUUAUGAUCGCCUCCCAAUAAGUCUUAGAAAAGUAAUAUUGAGGCCAGGCGCAGUGGCUCACACCUGUAAUCCCAGCACUUUGGGAGGCCAAGGUGGGCAGAUCACUUGAGGUCAGGAGUUUGAGACCUGUUCGAGCCUGGCCAACAUGGCAAAACCUCAUCUCUACUAAAAAUACAAAAAUUAGCUGGGCAUGGUUGUGGGUGCCUGUAGUCCCAGCUACUCAGGAGGCGGAGGCAGGAGGAUCGCUUGAACCCUGGAGGCAGAUGUUGCAGUGAGCUGAGAUCAUGCCUGUGCGCCUGUGCACUCCAGCCUAGGUGACAGAGUGAGACUCUGUCUC
rnacentral:antisense_RNA from 1 species